GACGAACGCUGGCGGCGUGCUUAACACAUGCAAGUCGAGCGGGAAACUUCGGUUUUCAGCGGCGGACGGGUGAGUAACACGUGGGCAACCUGCCUCACAAUGAGGGAUAGCCUUCCGAAAGGAAGAUUAAUACCUCAUAACACAAGAGAAACGCAUGUUUCUCUUGCCAAAGAAUUUCGUUGUGAGAUGGGCCCGCGGCGCAUUAGCUUGUUGGUGAGGUAACGGCUCACCAAGGCUUCGAUGCGUAGCCGACCUGAGAGGGUGAUCGGCCACAUUGGAACUGAGACACGGUCCAGACUCCUACGGGAGGCAGCAGUGGGGAAUAUUGCACAAUGGAGGAAACUCUGAUGCAGCAACGCCGCGUGAGUGAUGAAGGUCUUCGGAUUGUAAAGCUCUGUCUUCUGGGACGAUAAUGACGGUACCAGAGGAGGAAGCCACGGCUAACUACGUGCCAGCCGCCGCCGUAACAC
rnacentral:rRNA from 1 species